GGAAGGAUGUCUAAAAGCGAACAGGAAUCUACCUGGAUAGGACGCAAACCACUUUAGCAAAGCCACAAUUUCAUCCAACGCAUAACCCAUGUUCCUUUUUAGAAUGAUUGGGCAUGUAUGUGUUACCGGUACACUUAUACCGCCAAAUAAAUUAAGCGGUUCAACUGUCACAAAACCUCGUGCUUUUUUUCGUCGUCAUUUUUUCACCGAGUCGAGUGUUUGGUGGUUCGGUCAAAGCUUUACCUUGCUGUUUUUUCAAUUGGGAAACAUUUGCGAGAUUUCCUUUUUUUCUUGAAAAUCGCAUUAGCCCGCGUUGCUAAUAUACCUCUGAAUUAACAUAUUUUGCUCCAGCGGAAUUCAUGAACGAAAAACUGAUAAAAACGGGCAGAUUCCGGCGGAAAACGACUCUCUCUGAUGACGCAUCUCUAUCAUGCUCAUCAAGUGGGGCUGAAUCUGGGAAUGUAUCCAGAAUCCCAGAGCUGAAUGCUUACAUCCGUCUGUGUUUGUCUGUCGUCUUGCAGAGCAAAUCGAACCCGACGAAGUGGUGCUUUUGUUAAUUUCUCGCAUUCAUCGAAACGAAUGCCAGCCAGCUUUGGGGAAUUUUUCAUGACACACACAUCUCGGAUAACCGAUACUCGAUUAGCAACAUUAGCACGGAUUACACACAUGAAUGAGAGCGAGGGGAUCAGAGAUGUUUCACAAGCUAAAUUUCAGAAGAUCGAACAGAGAUAUCAUUCACCCAGUAGCACGAUCAUUCACCCGUUUCGAAAACUCCAUUUAAUCACUGCACUUCACCACCUGAGGUAUGUGAAGUCCAAAAAUGUUUCACCGGCGCUAAUAAAGCGUUCACGGUAACUGUAAUUAGUAUAGACAGGAUGCAGGUUUCACGCAGCAAUAAAGCGCGGUAUUGAAGAAUGAUGGAGACGGUAAAGCUAAAACGACCAAUUGGACAACACCUCUAUUCGUGGGCUGCAUGACUACGAUGAUCCGCCAGACGCACCUGUAUGCCACAUUCGAGGCCGCAUUACAAAGAGAAGUCGGGCAAACUCCUGCUGGCCCUUGUAACCGUUCGGUUUCAUGUGAUUGACUUGCGGCUCCACCGCAAGAUUUCCUUUCUUGUCCCACCCUAUCCAUCCAAACCGACAGCAUUCAAUGAGAGUGCAUACACCAUUUCCAUCCGUUCCAUAUCAAUGCACGUUCAUGCAAACGGUGACACAAAUAGCGAAACAAAUGAAAAUGUCCAAAAAGAUUUGACAAACAGAGGUCACUACUAGUUUUGAUCAGAACAUACAUACAAAGGUCGGAGAAAUAUGAAAUGUCAAACUUCGUAUUUUGGACGAAGUUUGAGCUCCAUCUUAACACUCGUUUUAUAAUAAAUACCUCAGCCAAAGGCAAUGAAGAUUCUCUUCUCUGUCGUAACCUCCGAGGAAAUCGUAGUGCGCGUCGUGUAUUAAUUGUUAAAAAUUGUCACAAAAUUGUGUGUUUUAAAAGCUUUGUACCUUAUUCUAAGUGGGAAUUGUGUCCUUAAUACUAAUAGUACGGUAAAAAUAGUACGGCAAAACAAACUACAAAACUAUAGUACGCCUAUUAUACAUUUAUGCCGUCUAAA